rnacentral:rRNA from 1 species
CUUACCAUGCAGUCGACGGCAGCGCGGGGGUAACCCUGGCGGCGAGUGGCGAACGGGUGAGUAAUACAUCGGAACGUGUCCUGGAGUGGGGGAUAGCCCGGCGAAAGCCGGAUUAAUACCGCAUACGAUCCACGGAUGAAAGCGGGGGACCGAAAGGCCUCGCGCUCAAGGAGCGGCCGAUGGCGGAUUAGCUAGUUGGUGGGGUAAAGGCCCACCAAGGCGACGAUCCGUAGCUGGUCUGAGAGGACGACCAGCCACACUGGGACUGAGACACGGCCCAGACUCCUACGGGAGGCAGCAGUGGGGAAUUUUGGACAAUGGGCGAAAGCCUGAUCCAGCAAUGCCGCGUGUGUGAAGAAGGCCUUCGGGUUGUAAAGCACUUUUGUCCGGAAAGAAAACUUCGCCUCUAAUACAGGUGGAGGAUGACGGUACCGGAAGAAUAAGCACCGGCUAACUACGUGCCAGCAGCCGCGGUAAUACGUAGGGUGCAAGCGUUAAUCGGAAUUACUGGGCGUAAAGCGUGCGCAGGCGGUGAUGUAAGACCGAUGUGAAAUCCCCGGGCUUAACCUGGGAACUGCAUUGGUGACUGCAUUGCUAGAGUAUGGCAGAGGGGGGUGGAAUUCCACGUGUAGCAGUGAAAUGCGUAGAGAUGUGGAGGAACACCGAUGGCGAAGGCAGCCCCCUGGGCCAAUACUGACGCUCAUGCACGAAAGCGUGGGGAGCAAACAGGAUUAGAUACCCUGGUAGUCCACGCCCUAAACGAUGUCAACUGGUUGUUGGGGAUUCAUUUCCUUAGUAACGAAGCUAACGCGUGAAGUUGACCGCCUGGGGAGUACGGUCGCAAGAUUAAA